UGUAAGUUGAAAAGGCCAAAAGAUAAAAGUCAAGUUCGUCUUAGAUUCCAUGUUUGAAAUUAGGACAUAAAUCAAUGCGAAUUUUGAAACCAUGUUGUAUAGUGCGACUGUUUUGGCGAUAUUAAUACACAUAGCUUCAAGCAUUACACAGGACUGCUUCUUCUUCCCUGAUAGCCGACUAGAGUGUGUGGAAUAUAUCGACAUACAAAAAGCCAAACAUGGAUGUACAACUUUAAAAGAUUCCGUCAAAGUUACCGGGACAUCAAAUGAUAUAGAUGGUGAUAAGUGGAUUGAAAUCAUCGAAACUAAAGGAGAGGGAGAAAGUACGAAAUACGUAAGACUAAAAAAUGGAGAUUGUUCCAAUAACUGCUGCGAUAAUUUGUUGAGAUCUG